AGUUUGAUCCUGGCUCAGAACGAACGCUGGCGGCGUGGAUAAGACAUGCAAGUCGAACGAGAGAAUUGCUAGCUUGCUAAUAAUUCUCUAGUGGCGCACGGGUGAGUAACACGUGAGUAACCUGCCCCCGAGAGCGGGAUAGCCCUGGGAAACUGGGAUUAAUACCGCAUAGUAUCGAAAGAUUAAAGCAGCAAUGCGCUUGGGGAUGGGCUCGCGGCCUAUUAGUUAGUUGGUGAGGUAACGGCUCACCAAGGCGAUGACGGGUAGCCGGUCUGAGAGGAUGUCCGGCCACACUGGAACUGAGACACGGUCCAGACACCUACGGGUGGCAGCAGUCGAGAAUCAUUCACAAUGGGGGAAACCCUGAUGGUGCGACGCCGCGUGGGGGAAUGAAGGUCUUCGGAUUGUAAACCCCUGUCAUGUGGGAGCAAAUUAAAAAGAUAGUACCACAAGAGGAAGAGACGGCUAACUCUGUGCCAGCAGCCGCGGUAAUACAGAGGUCUCAAGCGUUGUUCGGAAUCACUGGGCGUAAAGCGUGCGUAGGCUGUUUCGUAAGUCGUGUGUGAAAGGCGCGGGCUCAACCCGCGGACGGCACAUGAUACUGCGAGACUAGAGUAAUGGAGGGGGAACCGGAAUUCUCGGUGUAGCAGUGAAAUGCGUAGAUAUCGAGAGGAACACUCGUGGCGAAGGCGGGUUCCUGGACAUUAACUGACGCUGAGGCACGAAGGCCAGGGGAGCGAAAGGGAUUAGAUACCCCUGUAGUCCUGGCAGUAAACGGUGCACGCUUGGUGUGCGGGGAAUCGACCCCCUGCGUGCCGGAGCUAACGCGUUAAGCGUGCCGCCUGGGGAGUACGGUCGCAAGAUUAAAACUCAAAGAAAUUGACGGGGACCCGCACAAGCGGUGGAGUAUGUGGCUUAAUUCGAUGCAACGCGAAGAACCUUACCUGGGCUUGACAUGUAAUGAACAACAUGUGAAAGCAUGCGACUCUUCGGAGGCGUUACACAGGUGCUGCAUGGCCGUCGUCAGCUCGUGUCGUGAGAUGUUUGGUUAAGUCCAGCAACGAGCGCAACCCCUGUUGCCAGUUACCAGCACGUGAAGGUGGGGACUCUGGCGAGACUGCCCAGAUCAACUGGGAGGAAGGUGGGGACGACGUCAGGUCAGUAUGGCCCUUAUGCCCAGGGCUGCACACGUACUACAAUGCCCAGUACAGAGGGGGCCGAAGCCGCGAGGCGGAGGAAAUCCUAAAAACUGGGCCCAGUUCGGACUGUAGGCUGCAACCCGCCUACACGAAGCCGGAAUCGCUAGUAAUGGCGCAUCAGCUACGGCGCCGUGAAUACGUUCCCGGGUCUUGCACACACCGCCCGUCA
rnacentral:rRNA from 1 species